GUUUGUUACAGAUUUAAUUGUUUUGAUAAAAGAUCAUCGCAACUUGACCGAAACCAUCGAGCGGUUCAGAUCCUGUUUCUCAACAUUAUUUUUAGUCCAAAUCGCAACCAGUGGCAUCGUUAUUUGUGCUUCAGUCUACAACUUAGCUGUUGGGUCGAACCAAAAUGUGGGUCAAUCAGAAUUUUAUGUUGCUACUCUGGUCUAUGGAUUUUUUGAUAUUUUUUUUGUUAUGUACCUGGCUAACGACAUUACCCUUGCGAGUGAUCUGCUACCUUACUGCUUAUUUGAGUCCAAUUGGAUUGAACAGACAGAAUCAAGUAAAAAAUUGGUUCUCAUCAUGGGCGAAGUGUUGAAGCAACCGCAACAACUUGUCAUCUUGAUAUAUCCAUUGAGCUUGGAAACGUUUUUGACGAUAAUGAACGGCGCCUACAGCAUGUUCAAUAUUUUGAAAAGUUUUUAGCGAAAUG